rnacentral:misc_RNA from 1 species
AAACAAUAUAUAAUAAUAUUAACUGUAAAAAAUAUUAAACUAUGAAAAAUAAAGGAAUAAUAGGGAAAAAAAAUUCAAUUAUGAAUUAUGUUCAUAAUCUUCUCCAAAAUGCUGACUAGAACUCAAUUAUUUAUUUAAUGCAUUUAAUGCAUUUUAGCCGAGAACCAAGUGGAAGUAGGUAAAAAAUAAUAAUAAAAAAGCAGAGCAUAUGGUAUUUCUCUUGAAAACCAGUUACAACAUUUAGUGGAGGAUGGGCCCACGAUGAUGGACCGCUAUGAGAAACAACAAUGAAAACCUAUUUUUCCAUUUUUUGCUUAUUUUUUUCAAGUUUAAACACGAAAGGGAGAAAAGUAAAAAUUACAUGAAACAACAAUGCUCAACCAAAUGAGUUUCCUUUCUUUUUUUUCCAAGAAGAAGAAGAAGGCUAAAUUGAAAUGGUCCCAAAAGUCCGCUUUACUUAUCAAUUCUGGUUUUUGUGUCCCCCUUUUUUCUAAAAAA